rnacentral:rRNA from 1 species
AUGAUCGUGCUCAUCCCCAAAGGAAAUGAUCCGCAGUCCCUAAAGGAUUACAGGCCAAUUAGCCUCUGUAACGUCAUAUACAAAGUGGUGUCCAAGUGUCUUGUGAAUCGGCUUCGCCCCAUGCUGGACGGGAUCAUUUCGGAAACCCAAAGCGCUUUUAUCCCAGGUAGAAUGAUUACGGAUAAUGCUAUCAUUGCAUUUGAGUGCUUCCACAAAAUACAACACUGUAAGAAUGCACAAGACAACUACUGUGCUUACAAGUUGGAUCUCGCGAAGGCCUACGAUAGAGUUGAUUGGAGUUUUCUGGAAGGAGUGUUGAGGAAAGCUGGGUUUUGUGACAAAUGGACCGGAUGGGUGAUGCGGUGUGUCCGAUCCGUUCGAUACUCAGUCCGUUGCAACGGAGAAUUACUAGAGCCUUUCAAACCAUCCCGUGGACUACGGCAAGGAGACCCUCUCAGCCCAUAUCUUUUUCUUUUUAUUGCGGAUGGCCUGGUUCAUCUCCUAAAGAAGGAAAUGGUUGAGAACAGAUUGACACCUAUUAAAAUUGCUAGAAGCAGCCUGGGCAUUUCAAACCUUUUGUUCGCGGACGACAUCUUGAUCUUCUUCAAGGCUAAACCAGAACAAGCGGAAACUAUAAGGAGGGUCCUGAUCACGUUCCAGAAAUGCACGGGCUAA